GGUGACUCAGUAGUAGAGUGCUUGCCUUGUAAGCAUGAGGCCCUGGGUUCAACCCCUCAGCACCA
rfam:Dipodomys ordii contig_64619, whole genome shotgun sequence.